rnacentral:rRNA from 1 species
CAGUCGAGGGGCAGCGGGGAGGUAGCAAUACUUUCGCCGGCGACCGGCGCACGGGUGAGUAACACGUAUGGAACCUGCCCGUAGCAGGGGGAUAAGCGGAAGAAAUUCCGUCUAAUACCGCGUAAUAACUCCGAGAGGCAUCUCAUGGAGUUUAAAGGGUAACACCGGCUACGGAUGGCCAUGCGGCGCAUUAGCUAGUUGGCGGGGUAACGGCCCACCAAGGCGACGAUGCGUAGGGGUUCUGAGAGGAAGGUCCCCCACACUGGUACUGAGACACGGACCAGACUCCUACGGGAGGCAGCAGUGAGGAAUAUUGGUCAAUGGGCGCGAGCCUGAACCAGCCAAGUCGCGUGAGGGAAGACGGUCCUAUGGAUUGUAAACCUCUUUUGUCGGGGAGCAAAAGACGCCACGCGUGGCGUUCCGAGAGUACCCGAAGAAAAAGCAUCGGCUAACUCCGUGCCAGCAGCCGCGGUAAUACGGAGGAUGCGAGCGUUAUCCGGAUUUAUUGGGUUUAAAGGGUGCGCAGGCGGAAGAUCAAGUCAGCGGUAAAAUUGAGAGGCUCAACCUCUUCGAGCCGUUGAAACUGGUUUUCUUGAGUGAGCGAGAAGUAUGCGGAAUGCGUGGUGUAGCGGUGAAAUGCAUAGAUAUCACGCAGAACUCCGAUUGCGAAGGCAGCAUACCGGCGCUCAACUGACGCUCAUGCACGAAAGUGUGGGUAUCGAACAGGAUUAGAUACCCUGGUAGUCCACACAGUAAACGAUGAAUACUAAUUGUUCGGGGAGAAUGAUCCCUGAGUGAUAC